rnacentral:rRNA from 1 species
UACAGAGGGUGCGAGCGUUGUCCGAAAUCACUGGGCGUAAAGGGCGCGUAGGCGGCUUGAUAAGUAGGGGGUGAAAUCUUGCGGCUCAACUGCAAGGCUGCCUCCUAAACUGUCAGGCUUGAGCACAGUAGAGGCAGGUGGAACUCCCGGUGUAGCGGUGGAAUGCGUAGAGAUCGGGAAGAACACCAGUGGCGAAGGCGGUCUGCUGGGCCGUUGCUGACGCUGAGGCGCGACAGCGUGGGGAGCAAACAGG